UAGACAGCCAGUGUUUUUUCUUAUGUAAAGGAAUCCAUUUAUUCCUACUUUCCUGCGUGUGUGUGUGUGUGUGUGUCUGUGUGUGUCUGUGUGUGUCUGUGUGUGUCUGUACAUUUCCUUCUAGAUUGAAAUCAUCCGAUUCCAAAUAAUGUUUAUAAAUGCUUUCCCAGCUUCCAUAGAUUUGUAAUAGACUGAAAGCUGUUUUGGCAUUCACCUCCUUUCCUAAUGCAUUGAGCCUGCUCAUGGGUUCCCAUGAGGCCUAUGGUUGUAAGUUGGUGUUAAGAGUGCAACCAUGGCUCUGCUACACACACUCACACACACACACACACUCACAUAAACACACACACACACACACACACACACACACCCCAAAGACAUACUUGGUUCUGGGCCAUCCCCUCCCUAGGACCUCCAUUCUCAUGUGCCAGUCUCCCCGACUGGAGCACUUUACUGUCUCAGCCCCGUGGCUCUGUGGUACUGCCUAGGCGGGUGCAGAAGGCUCCCAGAGCCAGGUGCCAGUGGCAUGUGUGGCCCCUAAAACGUGCUUACCUCCAGCCUGGGGCUGGCCGCUGAAGCAGCUCAUAGGGUAGUAAGAGAGUCUAUGAAUUGUAGAAGUAUUCAAGAACAGGAUGCGGCACCCAGAACUUAAACAUGAUGACUGGAUGUCCCUGUACUGUAUCUGUUUCUUAAAAUGCAAGUGUCUCCUGCAGAAAGUGUCUCAGCUUACUGUGGGUAGGGCUUUGUGCUUAAUUGUUAGUUUAUCAUUCUCUCUUCUGUGCUAGAACAGAAACUAGAUCUCCCUCCUCCGUGUGUGUGUGUGUGUGUGUGUGUGUGUGUGUGUGUGUGUGUGUAAACAUAAUGCGGGUUUUGUGCCUUGACAACCUCCCCAUGUGAGGUUUGUAAAUAGUGUCCUGUGACUUCACCUCAAGUUGGAAUAAACGUACAAAAUGGCGUCCUGAGUGAUUCUUCAAAUUUUCUUUCCAGAAAAGAGUUGAGUUCGGGGGAGGGAGGGUGUCUGAAAAAUCAGCUUAAAGUCCCUCUUUAUUAAAGUCUGUAAUGGAUAAUGUCUGCUUCUCCUGUUUCCUCCUUCCAGUGUUGUAUAUAUUCUGACUAUUUAUUAGAUUAGGAAGUCAUGUUUCACUCGUCAACUGAGCCAAAUGUCUGUGUGCAAUUGUAUUCUCGUUACCUUUCUUUGUAAAAUAUUGUACAGCAUAAAUGAGUAAAAAAAAAAUCACUGUUUUUUCAAACUUCUCAUUAUUAAGGAUUGUAAAUACCGUAGGUUCUCCUUCUGUGUAAUGUGCCCUACUGUUCCAUAAUGCUGUAACUUGUAGAGUCAUUGUAUAUUUAUUUUCUGCUUAUUUAAUGUCUUACGUUCUUGAAAGUGUUGACAUCCCUAUCCCUGACACCCCAGCCAUGCCAUGAAUUGCUUCAGCUCCUGAUAAAGGGGGGCACUGACUGACUGGCUCUGUUCCCCAACAUGGCUUCUGCUUUGGCUUCUGGCAUUCAGUGCUUGGAUUCUGCUGCCUCUCUGAGGAAACGAGUAUUUGCUGCCGAUGAGAUACCCUAGCUACAGUAGCCUGGAAGAUCGGACUCUAAGAAAAUACCCAUCAAACCCAUUUAUAAAGCAGCUGGCUUCUGAGGAAAGCAGAUUUACCAAUAAGUUGGCCAUAUCUUUAGAGAAGUAUUAGCAACAGAUGGGGAAGGUUUUUUUCUUUAAUUGAGAGUGUAUCUUUGACAACUCAGUGUUGAAAGAAAUCCUGCCUCUUGAGGUACUGCUGAAUGGCCGCCCUGGGUAAGAAAAGGGCAGGUGGGGCCUGUUUUUAGAGCAUUCAACAAGGCCACUUAUGUCACCAGGACACUUGCUGGCUACCUUCCCCACCUGCUGUGUGCUUCUGGUGUUUUGAGGUCUGUGGACUGAACUUACCUGUGCCAUUCAGCUCCCUCCCCACCCUGUUCACUGCAUUUGGCCAGCUUGCUCCUGCUUCGCUCAACAGAGGCCCCCACUGGCCUGGGUGUCAAGAUGGAAAAAAGCUCACUGAAGCUCUAGAGCCAUGUGACUUCAUGUAAAUGGUUUUGUCCUCCCUGCUGAUUUAGCCUGGUGCCUGUGUGUGUCCAUCCACUCAGUACGUCUGUGUGCGGGUUGUGUCCACACGUGUCGCUACAUCAGCGGGGAAUCCUUCUCAAACAGCGUUGCACAAAGCAUCCUCAAGUUCCCAGCAAAGUACUUGAUCUCUUUCAAAUGUGUUUUAUCGUCUAGGUUCUGUGACCACUGGUUUCUGUAUCCAGAACUGUCAGGUAUCCUUUGGUAAACAGCACUGAUCUCUGUAUUGUACCCCAUCACUAACGUGUCAGAACCCAGCGUAUGUAGCAUUUGUAUUGCAGUUUCCCUGGCUUCCUUUAUGUUUUGCACUGAUGAAUUUUGACAGGGUAAUUGCCACUGUACCUGUGCAAUACUGCUGUAAAUAACUGCAGAUUUUUUUAAGAAACUCAAUCUUUUAUGUUCUUAAUGAAUUUUAUAUAAAUAAAACUUGCGACUAGCUCUCAUGAA
rnacentral:lncRNA from 1 species